UAGGGAAUCUUCCACAAUGGACGAAAGUCUGAUGGAGCAACGCCGCGUGAGUGAAGAAGGGUUUCGGCUCGUAAACUCUGUCGUUAAGAAGAACAUAUCUGAGAGUAACUGUUCAGGUAUUGACGGUAUUUAACCAGAAAGCCACGGCUAACUACGUGCCAC
rnacentral:rRNA from 1 species